rnacentral:rRNA from 1 species
GGGUUGUGAGGUUAAGCGACUAAGCGUACACGGUGGAUGCCCUGGCAGUCAGAGGCGAUGAAGGACGUGCUAAUCUGCGAAAAGCGUCGGUAAGGUGAUAUGAACCGUUAUAACCGGCGAUGUCCGAAUGGGGAAACCCAGUGUGAUUCGUCACACUAUCGUUAACUGAAUACAUAGGUUAACGAGGCGAACCGGGGGAACUGAAACAUCUAAGUACCCCGAGGAAAAGAAAUCAACCGAGAUUCCCCCAGUAGCGGCGAGCGAACGGGGAGCAGCCCAGAGUCUGAAUCAGCUUGUGUGUUAGUGGAACGGUCUGGAAAGUCCGACGGUACAGGGUGAUAGUCCCGUACACCAAAAUGCACAGGCUGUGAACUCGAAGAGUAGGGCGGGACACGUGGUAUCCUGUCUGAAUAUGGGGGGACCAUCCUCCAAGGCUAAAUACUCCUGACUGACCGAUAGUGAACCAGUACCGUGAGGGAAAGGCGAAAAGAACCCCGGCGAGGGGAGUGAAAAAGAACCUGAAACCGUGUACGUACAAGCAGUGGGAGCACCUUCGGGUGUGACUGCGUACCUUUUGUAUAAUGGGUCAGCGACUUAUAUUCUGUAGCAAGGUUAACCGUAUAGGGGAGCCGCAGGGAAACCGAGUCUUAACUGGGCGUUAAGUUGCAGGGUAUAGACCCGAAACCCGGUGAUCUAGCCAUGGGCAGGUUGAAGGUUGGGUAACACUAACUGGAGGACCGAACCGACUAAUGUUGAAAAAUUAGCGGAUGACUUGUGGCUGGGGGUGAAAGGCCAAUCAAACCGGGAGAUAGCUGGUUCUCCCCGAAAGCUAUUUAGGUAGCGCCUCGUGAACUCAUCUUCGGGGGUAGAGCACUGUUUCGGCUAGGGGGUCAUCCCGACUUACCAACCCGAUGCAAACUACGAAUACCGAAGAAUGUUAUCACGGGAGACACACGGCGGGUGCUAACGUCCGUCGUGAAGAGGGAAACAACCCAGACCGCCAGCUAAGGUCCCAAAGUCAUGGUUAAGUGGGAAACGAUGUGGGAAGGCACAGACAGCCAGGAUGUUGGCUUAGAAGCAGCCAUCAUUUAAAGAAAGCGUAAUAGCUCACUGGUCGAGUCGGCCUGCGCGGAAGAUGUAACGGGGCUAAACCAUGCACCGAAGCUGCGGCAGCGACACGAUGUGUUGUUGGGUAGGGGAGCGUUCUGUAAGCCUGCGAAGGUGACCUGUGAGGGUUGCUGGAGGUAUCAGAAGUGCGAAUGCUGACAUAAGUAACGAUAAAGCGGGUGAAAAGCCCGCUCGCCGGAAGACCAAGGGUUCCUGUCCAACGUUAAUCGGGGCAGGGUGAGUCGACCCCUAAGGCGAGGCCGAAAGGCGUAGUCGAUGGGAAACAGGUUAAUAUUCCUGUACUUGGUGUUACUGCGAAGGGGGGACGGAGAAGGCUAUGUUAGCCGGGCGACGGUUGUCCCGGUUUAAGCAUGUAGGCUGGUUAUCCAGGCAAAUCCGGAUAAUCAAGGCUGAGGUGUGAUGACGAGGUACUACGGUGCUGAAGUAACAAAUGCCCUGCUUCCAGGAAAAGCCUCUAAGCAUCAGGUAACAUCAAAUCGUACCCCAAACCGACACAGGUGGUCAGGUAGAGAAUACCAAGGCGCUUGAGAGAACUCGGGUGAAGGAACUAGGCAAAAUGGUGCCGUAACUUCGGGAGAAGGCACGCUGGUGUGUAGGUGAAGUCCCUGCGGAUGGAGCUGAGACCAGUCGAAGAUACCAGCUGGCUGCAACUGUUUAUUAAAAACACAGCACUGUGCAAACACGAAAGUGGACGUAUACGGUGUGACGCCUGCCCGGUGCCGGAAGGUUAAUUGAUGGGGUUAUCCGUAAGGAGAAGCUCUUGAUCGAAGCCCCGGUAAACGGCGGCCGUAACUAUAACGGUCCUAAGGUAGCGAAAUUCCUUGUCGGGUAAGUUCCGACCUGCACGAAUGGCGUAAUGAUGGCCAGGCUGUCUCCACCCGAGACUCAGUGAAAUUGAACUCGCUGUGAAGAUGCAGUGUACCCGCGGCAAGACGGAAAGACCCCGUGAACCUUUACUAUAGCUUGACACUGAACAUUGAGCCUUGAUGUGUAGGAUAGGUGGGAGGCUUUGAAGCGUGGACGCCAGUCUGCGUGGAGCCAACCUUGAAAUACCACCCUUUAAUGUUUGAUGUUCUAACGUUGGCCCCUUACCGGGGUUGCGGACAGUGUCUGGUGGGUAGUUUGACUGGGGCGGUCUCCUCCCAAAGCGUAACGGAGGAGCACGAAGGUUAGCUAAUCCUGGUCGGACAUCAGGAGGUUAGUGCAAUGGCAUAAGCUAGCUUGACUGCGAGCGUGACGGCGCGAGCAGGUGCGAAAGCAGGUCAUAGUGAUCCGGUGGUUCUGAAUGGAAGGGCCAUCGCUCAACGGAUAAAAGGUACUCCGGGGAUAACAGGCUGAUACCGCCCAAGAGUUCAUAUCGACGGCGGUGUUUGGCACCUCGAUGUCGGCUCAUCACAUCCUGGGGCUGAAGUAGGUCCCAAGGGUAUGGCUGUUCGCCAUUUAAAGUGGUACGCGAGCUGGGUUUAGAACGUCGUGAGACAGUUCGGUCCCUAUCUGCCGUGGGCGCUGGAGAAUUGAGGGGGGCUGCUCCUAGUACGAGAGGACCGGAGUGGACGCAUCACUGGUGUUCGGGUUGUCAUGCCAAUGGCACUGCCCGGUAGCUAAAUGCGGAAGAGAUAAGUGCUGAAAGCAUCUAAGCACGAAACUUGCCCCGAGAUGAGUUCUCCCUGAGACU